GGUCUCGCAACUUGUCAGCCACGUAGUCUGCUGAGAAUUCCCCUUCUCACCUCGCCUGCACCGGGGACCUGGGGCCGCAGCUCCGCGAGGAGAUGAAGCAUUCCUUCAAGCCAGAGCCUUCUUGACAGAAGGACUGCUGCAGAGAAGGAGGUGGGCGCUGAAUCUUCCUGGGACAGCUCAGGGUGUUGCAUGUUUUACAAACGGAAGGCAAGACCCUCCGCUGGCAAAAAGGCCUGGACUCCAUUUGUGGCGACAGCCGCCUGAUCGCGGGGGUCUGGACCCGAACCCGCAGCAUCUCCGAGGUCUGCCUCUCCUGUCCCGGAUCAGCGCCGUCCAACAGAAAUGGAACACGAGUCAUAAAUGCCCCAGCGGCCACACACAAAGGCCAAAACUAACAGGAGAAAUUAACGUUCAUAAAAUGGUAUUUAACCCAAUAUGAAUAGAGUAUCAUCGGCUCAGCAUGGAGCCGAUAUAAAAAAGUGUUCAUGAGGUUUCACAUUCUCUGUACCCAGUCAUUGACGUGCGUAAGUAUUUUA